UGAGUAACACGUAUCCAACCUGCCGUCUACUCUUGGACAGCCUUCUGAAAGGAAGAUUAAUCCAGGAUGGCAUCAUGAGUUCACAUGUCCGCAUGAUUAAAGGUAUUUUCCGGUAGACGAUGGGGAUGCGUUCCAUUAGAUAGUAGGCGGGGUUACGGCCCACCUAGUCAACGAUGGAUAGGGGUUCUGAGAGGAAGGUCCCCCACAUUGGAACUGAGACACGGUCCAA
rnacentral:rRNA from 1 species